rnacentral:rRNA from 1 species
CACGUAGGAGGCGAGCGUUGUCCGGAAUCAUUGGGUUUAAAGGGUGCGUAGGAGGGCAGGGAAGUCCGUGGUGAAAUCCUAGAGCUUAACUCUAGAACUGCCGUGGAUACUCUCUGUCUUGAAUCCCGUGGAGAUGAGCGGAAUAUGUCAUGUAGCGGUGAAAUGCUUAGAUAUGACACAGAACACCGAUUGCGAAGGCAGCUCACUAAGUCAUAACUGACGCUGAUGCACGAAAGCGUGGGGAGCAAACAGG